UGCUAAUACCGCAUAUCUCUCAGGAGGAAAGCAGGGGAUCGAAAGACCUUGCGCUAAAGGAGCGGCUGAUGUCCGAUUAGCUAGUUGGUGGGGUAAAGGCUUACCAAGGCAACGAUCAGUAGCUGGUCUGAGAGGACGACCAGCCACACUGGGACUGAGACACGGCCCAGACUCCUACGGGAGGCAGCAGUGGGGAAUUUUGGACAAUGGGCGAAAGCCUGAUCCAGCUAUGCCGCGUGAGUGAAGAAGGCCUUCGGGUUGUAAAGCUCUUUUAGUCGGAAAGAAAGAGUCAUAGUAAAUAGCUAUGAUUUAUGACGGUACCGACAGAAAAAGCACCGGCUAACUACGUGCCAGCAGCCGCGGUAAUACGUAGGGUGCGAGCGUUAAUCGGAAUUACUGGGCGUAAAGGGUGCGCAGGCGGCCUUGUAAGUCAGAUGUGAAAGCCCCGGGCUUAACCUGGGGAUUGCGUUUGAAACUACAAAGCUAGAGUGCAGCAGAGGGGAGUGGAAUUCCAUGUGUAGCAGUGAAAUGCGUAGAGAUGUGGAAGAACACCGAUGGCGAAGGCAGCUCCCUGGGUUGACACUAACGCUCAUGCACGAAAGCGUGGGGAGCGAACAGGAUUAGGUACCCUGGUAGUCCACGCCCUAAACUAUGUCAACUAGUUGUCGGAUCUAAUUAAGGAUUUGGUAACGUAGCUAACGCGUGAAGUUGACCGCCUGGGGAGUACGAUCGCAAGAUUAAAACUCAAAGGAAUUGACGGGGACCCGCACAAGCGGUGGAUUAUGUGGAUUAAUUCGAUGCAACGCGAAAAACCUUACCUACCCUUGACAUGCUUGGAAUCUAAUGGAGACAUAAGAGUGCCCGAAAGGGAGCCAAGACACAGGUGCUGCAUGGCUGUCGUCAGCUCGUGUCGUGAGAUGUUGGGUUAAGUCCCGCAACGAGCGCAACCCUUGUCGCUAAUUGCUAUCAUUUUAAUGAGCACUUUAGCGAGACUGCCGGUGACAAACCGGAGGAAGGUGGGGAUGACGUCAAGUCCUCAUGGCCCUUAUGGGUAGGGCUUCACACGUAAUACAAUGGCGCGUACAGAGGGUUGCCAAUCCGCGAGGAGGAGCCAAUCUCAG
rnacentral:rRNA from 1 species